ACUCAAAUGAAUUGACGGGGACCCGCACAACUGGUGGAGCGUGUGGUUUAAUUCGAGACGAAGCGAAAAACCUUACCAAGGUUUGACAUGCUACCGUACAGCCUUUUGGAAACAAGAGGCAAUCCGCAAGGAUGGUAGCACAGGUGAUGCAUGGCUGUCGUCAGCUCGUGCCGUGAGGUGUUCCCUUAAGUGGGGAAACGAGCGCAACCCGUAUCUAAUGUUACAUAUUCAUUAGAGACAGCCCCAGUUUUACUGGGGAGGAAGGAGCGGAAGACGUCAAGUCAGCACGUCCCUUAUACCUUGGGUAACACACACCCUACAAUGGCGAAGAACAAUGAGCUGCAAGCCGGCAACGGCAAGCUAAUCUCAGAAAUUUCGUCUCAGUUCAGAUUGAGGUCUGCAACCCGACCUCAUGAAGUCGGAAUCAGUAGUAAUCGCGGAUCAGAAGGCCGCGGUGAAUACGUUCUCGGGUCUUGUACACACCGCCCGU
rnacentral:rRNA from 1 species